CCUUUCCCAGCCCUUGGAUGUUCCUCCUCCCUGGGAGGGAGGAAUGUGCUGCUUCUCCCAAGCCUCUGAAUGCUUCUGCAGGAAGGAGGUAGCCGGCCAACAUGAGGAGGAGGCAGGGACAGGGAACAGCCUCCUGUGAAGGCCACUUCAGAGGUAGAGGCCCACCCAGCAGGAGCAGGCCCUACUAGAGCCCCGUUCACAGCCAAGCGUUUUGUGAUUUUCCCUUUGACCUCCUCUUGCACCAGCAUGCCUCAUUCCAUCAGUCUUUCCCUGUGCCAAGAAAACUCCGGUGAAGAAAUGGGAUUUGAAGAAAAUACCAAAUUUCGCCCCAGGACAUGCAUUGACAGAACUGAUGGAUCCCAAGUUGUGUGUCAAAGUUGAAGCUGCACCCCAGGGCUAUUUGAUUCCCUCCCAGCCUUAUUUCUCCAUAAAAUUGGUAGCUGUUUGCAUACGAUUACAGAUGACAAAAUAAAGAAAGGUUACAGGAUCUGAGACAGCUUUGCCAAGAAACUUGAAAUAUUCGGGGACCCCCUAAUGUCCCAGCAGGCCCCAAGGUGAAGCAGUCACUGUGGCCAAACCUGCUGUGCCAGAUUUAUUCUAAAUUCUGAAACCUCCAUGCUGAGAGGUGGAACUCUGUCUCUUGUUAAAAGUGUCCCAUGUGCUCUUUGUUUUAGAUCCCAGUGCUUUGGAGAUGUUUAGGCUACUGGAUUUUCACCAGCACAGAGAGAACUUCGUAGAAUUGCUAGGAAAU
rnacentral:lncRNA from 1 species